ensembl:lncRNA
UUAAAAUAUACUUUGUCUUUUCCACGGGUUGGGCCAUCUGGUGCAAUGUACCGGGUGUGUGUUGGUGGUGGUGGGAGGAGAGGACGGGUGGAUGGUGGAGGUGGUCUUUGUGGUCUGAGUGGUUGUGUGUGUGGGUGUGUUGGUGUGGGUCUGGUGUGUUCUGUGGUUUGAUAUGUGUGUGUGGGUCUAUUGUGGUGAUGGUGGGUGUGUGGGGGUCUAUACUGAAGGCUGGGGGGUCUAUAACGGGAUGUAGGUGUGGGAGGUAGCGUGCGUCUGUUGUGUGCGUGGUAGUGUGGCUGUGUGGUGUUGGUGUGAUUGGUGUAGGUAGGCCUCCAGGGUGAAGACACUUCAAUAAAGAUAGAUCUAUUUCAAAAGGGUGGAGCUGUGAGGGGGCUCUGACCUGCUGACGGAGAGGGUGGUGGUCCCGUGGUGGGUAGAGGAGAGGGUGGUGGUCCCGUGGUGGGUAGCCUGAGAGGGUGGUGGUCCCGUGGUGGGUAGCCUGAGAGGGUGGUGGUCCCGUGGUGGGUAGCCUGAGAGGGUGGUGGUCCCGUGGU